GCACAAAUGAUGGGAACACAAUGGUACGAGAAAAGCAAUGAUACUGUAAAUGCUUUCUGAUGCA
ensembl:snoRNA